rnacentral:rRNA from 1 species
UACAGAGGUCCCAAGCGUUGUUCGGAUUCAUUGGGCGUAAAGGGUGCGUAGGUGGCGAGGCAAGUCUGGUGUGAAAUCCCGGGGCUCAACCCCGGAACUGCACUGGAUACUACUUUGCUAGAGUACUGGAGAGGAGAUUGGAAUUUACGGUGUAGCAGUGAAAUGCGUAGAUAUCGUAAGGAAGACCAGUGGCGAAGGCGAAUCUCUGGACAGUUACUGACACUGAGGCACGAAGGCCAGGGGAGCAAACGGG